rnacentral:rRNA from 1 species
UACGAAGGGCGCUAGCGUUGUUCGGAAUCAUUGGGCGUAAAGCGUGCGUAGGCGGUUUAGAAAGUCAGCUGUGAAAGCCCAGGGCUUAACUUUGGAAUUGCAGUUGAAACUACUAUGACUAGAGUGUGGUGGGGGAUAGUGGAAUUCUUAGUGUAGGGGUGAAAUCCGUAGAUAUUAAGAGGAACACCGGUGGCGAAAGCGACUAUCUACACCAUUACUGACGCUCAGGUACGAAAGCGUGGGUAGCAAACAGG